UACGUAGGCAGCAAACGUUGUUCGGAAUUACUGGGCGUAAAGAGUGUGUAGGCGGUUCUGUAAGUUUGGUGUGAAAUCUCCCGGCUUAACUGGGAGGGUGCGCCGAAAACUGCAAAGCUUGAGUGCUGGAGAGGAUAGCGGAAUUCCUGGUGUAGCGGUGAAAUGCGUAGAUAUCAGGAGGAACACCGGCGGUGUAGACGGCUAUCUGGACAGCAACUGACGCUGAGACACGAAAGCGUGGGGAGCAAACAGG
rnacentral:rRNA from 1 species